AUUCGGCAGGAUUUGUUGCUGAGAUCGUUGAAUCUCUGACUAGAACCACCAGUCACAAAUUGCUGACAAGUGUUCUGGCCAUGUAGUUCUGUUUCGGCAAGAGCGACGUUUGGCUCUCACAUUUUUGGAAUCAGAAGAACCAUUUGUUUUAUUUUCCUGUGGUGUUUGGCUGCUGACAUAGGCAUUGCUGAUCUAGGAACAAUGAGUUGAAGAAUUUACUAAAAGAUUUCCAUGAAGCCAUUCUUUCUGUGAAGGAUCAUCAUCACUGGCUAUAGACUACAAGAUUAAGAUGUCUUCAACACUUGAAUGAAGAAGCUGACAUGAAGUAAUAUGUACGUACGUACAUAAUGAAUACUCAAGUGGCGGCCAUAUGCUUUGGCACCUUUGGCAGCGAAAUUUGUCCAAUAUCCCGUGAUGUUAAUAACCCAUCGCCAUGG